rnacentral:rRNA from 1 species
GAUGAACGCUGGCGGCGUGCCUAAUACAUGCAAGUCGAGCGAACAGACUAGGAGCUUGCUCCUCUGACGUUAGCAGCGGACGGGUGAGUAACACGUGGAUAACCUACCUAUAAGACUGGGAUAACUUCGGGAAACCGGAGCUAAUACCGGAUAAUAUAUUGAACCGCAUGGUUCAAUAGUGAACGACGGUUUUGCUGUCACUUAUAGUUGGAUCCGCGCCGCAUUAGCUAGUUGGUAAGGUAACGGCUUACCAAGGCGACGAUGCCUAGCCGACCUGAGAGGGUGAUCGGCCACACUGGAACUAAGACACGGUCCAGACUCCUACGGGAGGCAGCAGUAGGGAAUCUUCCGCAAUGGGCGAAAGCCUAACGGAGCAACGCCGCGUAAGUGAUGAAGGUCUUCGGAUCGUAAAACUCUGUUAUUAGGGAAGAACAAAUGCGUAAGUAACUAGGCACGUCUUGACGGUACCUAAUCAGAAAGCCACGGCUAACUCCGUG